GCGGGUGUAGCUCAGCCUGGUAGAGCACCACGUUGCCAACGUGGAUGUCGCGGGUUCAAAUCCCGUCGCCCGCUCCC
rnacentral:tRNA from 1 species